rnacentral:rRNA from 1 species
GACGAACGCUGGCGGCGUGCUUAACACAUGCAAGUCGAGCGGUAAGGCCCUUUCGGGGGUACACGAGCGGCGAACGGGUGAGUAACACGUGGGUGACCUGCCCUCAGUUCUGGGAUAAGCCUGGGAAACCGGGUCUAAUACUGGAUAUGACCUCAUGACGCAUGUUGUGGGGUGGAAAGCCUUGUGCGACUGAGGAUGGGCCCGCGGCCUAUCAGCUUGUUGGUGGGGUGANGGCCUACCAAGGCGACGACGGGUAGCCGGCCUGAGAGGGCGACCGGCCACACGUGGGACUGAGAC